AUUGAACGCUGGCGGCAUGCUUUACACAUGCAAGUCGAACGGUAACAGGCCGCAAGGUGCUGACGAGUGGCGAACGGGUGAGUAAUGCAUCGGAACGUGCCCAGUCGUGGGGGAUAACGCAGCGAAAGCUGCGCUAAUACCGCAUACGAUCUAUGAAUGAAAGCGGGGGACCGUAAGGCCUCGCGCGAUUGGAGCUGCCGAUGGCGGAUUAGGUAGUUGGUGGGGUAAAGGCUCACCAAGCCAAAGAUCUGUAGCUGGUCUGAGAGGACGACCAGCCACACUGGGACUGAGACACGGCCCAGACUCCUACGGGAGGCAGCAGUGGGGAAUUUUGGACAAUGGGCGCAAGCCUGAUCCAGCAAUGCCGCGUGCAGGAAGAAGGCCUUCGGGUUGUAAACUGCUUUUGUACGGAACGAAACGGCUCUGGUUAAUACCUGGGGCUAAUGACGGUACCGUAAGAAUAAGCACCGGCUAACUACGUGCCAGCCGCCGCGGUAAAAC
rnacentral:rRNA from 1 species